UACGUAGGGUGCGAGCGUUAAUCGGAAUUACUGGGCGUAAAGCGUGCGCAGGCGGUUCGUUGUGUCGGCGGUGAAAGCCCCGGGCUUAACCUGGGAAUGGCCGUUGAAACUGGCGAACUGGAGUGUGGCAGAGGGGGGUAGAAUUCCUGGUGUAGCAGUGAAAUGCGUAGAUAUCAGGAGGAAUACCGAUGGCGAAGGCAGCCCCCUGGGUCGAUACUGACGCUCAUGCACGAAAGCGUGGGGAGCAAACAGG
rnacentral:rRNA from 1 species